GACGAAAAAUGAAUACCAAGUCUCAAGAGUGAACACGUAAUUCAUUACGAAGUUUAAUUCAUUGAGCAUCAAACUUUUAAAUUGAAGAGUUUGAUCAUGGCUCAGAUUGAACGCUGGCGGCAGGCCUAACACAUGCAAGUCGAACGGUAACAGGAAGCAGCUUGCUGCUUUGCUGACGAGUGGCGGACGGGUGAGUAAUGUCUGGGAAACUGCCUGAUGGAGGGGGAUAACUACUGGAAACGGUGGCUAAUACCGCAUAACGUCGCAAGACCAAAGAGGGGGACCUUCGGGCCUCUUGCCAUCAGAUGUGCCCAGAUGGGAUUAGCUUGUUGGUGAGGUAACGGCUCACCAAGGCGACGAUCCCUAGCUGGUCUGAGAGGAUGACCAGCCACACUGGAACUGAGACACGGUCCAGACUCCUACGGGAGGCAGCAGUGGGGAAUAUUGCACAAUGGGCGCAAGCCUGAUGCAGCCAUGCCGCGUGUAUGAAGAAGGCCUUCGGGUUGUAAAGUACUUUCAGCGGGGAGGAAGGUGUUGUGGUUAAUAACCGCAGCAAUUGACGUUACCCGCAGAAGAAGCACCGGCUAACUCCGUGCCAGCAGCCGCGGUAAUACGGAGGGUGCAAGCGUUAAUCGGAAUUACUGGGCGUAAAGCGCACGCAGGCGGUCUGUCAAGUCGGAUGUGAAAUCCCCGGGCUCAACCUGGGAACUGCAUUCGAAACUGGCAGGCUUGAGUCUUGUAGAGGGGGGUAGAAUUCCAGGUGUAGCGGUGAAAUGCGUAGAGAUCUGGAGGAAUACCGGUGGCGAAGGCGGCCCCCUGGACAAAGACUGACGCUCAGGUGCGAAAGCGUGGGGAGCAAACAGGAUUAGAUACCCUGGUAGUCCACGCCGUAAACGAUGUCUACUUGGAGGUUGUGCCCUUGAGGCGUGGCUUCCGGAGCUAACGCGUUAAGUAGACCGCCUGGGGAGUACGGCCGCAAGGUUAAAACUCAAAUGAAUUGACGGGGGCCCGCACAAGCGGUGGAGCAUGUGGUUUAAUUCGAUGCAACGCGAAGAACCUUACCUGGUCUUGACAUCCACGGAAGUUUUCAGAGAUGAGAAUGUGCCUUCGGGAACCGUGAGACAGGUGCUGCAUGGCUGUCGUCAGCUCGUGUUGUGAAAUGUUGGGUUAAGUCCCGCAACGAGCGCAACCCUUAUCCUUUGUUGCCAGCGGUCCGGCCGGGAACUCAAAGGAGACUGCCAGUGAUAAACUGGAGGAAGGUGGGGAUGACGUCAAGUCAUCAUGGCCCUUACGACCAGGGCUACACACGUGCUACAAUGGCGCAUACAAAGAGAAGCGACCUCGCGAGAGCAAGCGGACCUCAUAAAGUGCGUCGUAGUCCGGAUUGGAGUCUGCAACUCGACUCCAUGAAGUCGGAAUCGCUAGUAAUCGUGGAUCAGAAUGCCACGGUGAAUACGUUCCCGGGCCUUGUACACACCGCCCGUCACACCAUGGGAGUGGGUUGCAAAAGAAGUAGGUAGCUUAACCUUCGGGAGGGCGCUUACCACUUUGUGAUUCAUGACUGGGGUGAAGUCGUAACAAGGUAACCGUAGGGGAACCUGCGGUUGGAUCACCUCCUUACCUUAAAGAANNNNNNNNNNNNNNNNNNNNAGUGCUCACACAGAUUGUCUGAUGAAAA
rnacentral:rRNA from 1 species